GAGAUAAGUGCUGAAAGCAUCUAAGCACGAAACUUGCCCCGAGAUGAGUUCUCCCUGAGACUAUAAGUCUCCUGAAGGAACGUUAAAGACGAUGACGUUGAUAGGCCGGGUGUGUAAGCGCAGCGAUGCGUUGAGCUAACCGGUACUAAUGAACCGUGAGGCUUAACCUUACAACGCCGAAG
rnacentral:rRNA from 1 species